CUUUUAUCAGUUUGUAAAGACAGUUUCAAGUAAUGCAAAAAUGUAUAAAACAAAACAUCCUCUGUAGCACCUUUAAAUCUUUAAAACCCUUCAGAGUCAUACAGAGUACAAUGAUACCCAUCUUUCCAAGGUCAGACAUAUUGCCAUAUUUUGAAUUUUAUAUUCAGAUUUGACCUGUACUCUCAGGGUCCCAGUGAAGAUGCAUAAUGAUAAUAAGUAGUGAAAAAAAAGGUAUUGUUAUAAUGGUAUAAAUUUUAUUAGUUCAUGCAUCCCCUUGGAACCGAACCCAUAACUUUGGCUUUGUUAGCACCAUGCUCUACAUGCAUAACCUUUGAACUGCUCUGCCUAAAAUCUUUUUUUUUUUUUUUUAAUUGUUAAAUUCUUCAGAAAUGUUCAUUUGGCUUGUCAUGCUACAGUUAUUUCGCUUGGCUCUGUAAUUGCUACUUGCACCUAUAUUAUGAUUAUGAAAUAUUAUAUUGUGAAUUAAAUAAUUGAAUUCCCAGGAGAUCAUUUAAAAUGAACAUUCAGCUUCUUUAUAAACAGUGCUCAAGCUCAGUGCACAUUUGCAAUUAAAGUGGACAAACACAGUACAGUCCACUGCCUCCCACUGAGAAUAUUGUGCUCAAUUAAACAUGGCCUUUAAAUAUUAGUUUGUCAGGUUUGUAUUGGGCUUGGUUGCAUAGCUUACUUUGGAGAUUGUUAAAUAGAUAAAUAUAAAGCAUUUGUGUAUUUUCUAAAACUGCAAAGUCUCAAGCUCCUUCAUAUACAUAAAUGUUUAGCAUUUUACAUCUUUUUUAAAUCAAAGGUCCUCUAAAUGUUUUUUAAUACUUUCAAUAUUGCAGCUUAAGAUUUGUUUUAGUCUUAUAAAGUUAGGCUAUCAAAACACAGACAAAUCGGCCCAUUUCUUAAUGUAGGAUAAGUCUUCUGCCACUAGGGGCAACAAUGUGUGAGCAGUUUGAGAUCUAUCAGCCAUUACAUAGUCCAUAUGUUUUUGAUUUUCCUUUCAUGCCCUGCUUUGUAAUCUUAACUGGUCUGAGGAUUGGAUUUAGCAUUUUAUCUAUCAUAACACUCUCAUGUUUUUGAUUACAGAGAUCCUUUUUCCCAUUUCCUCUGAUUAGAUCCAUAUAGCGGAUGAUCAGCUCACCAUGGCUUUCCACACCAGUGUUGUUAUUGUAAAAUAAAACUGAAAUAAAUCUGAAUCAUUGAAAUAGCUGAAGUUAAAAUAUUAAAAUAUAAAGCUGAAAUACAAUAUUGGUUAUACUUCAUGUUAAGGUGUCCAUGUUACAGUGUCAUUAUGCAUUUAAGUAAUGAGUAACAAUAAUUAACUACAUGUACUUACUAUAAUGUUGGAUUAGGGUUAGUUGCAUGUAAUUAUGCAUCAUUUAUAGUUAUUAAUACAGAAAUUGCAUGUAAUGUGUAACAAGGACACUGUAAAAUAAAGUGUUACCAAAAUAUUGAUGAAAAAUAUCUAUCUAUCUAUCUAUCUAUCUAUCUAUCUAUCUAUCUAUCUAUCUAUCUAUCCUGCUUAUGGAAGUGUUAUGAGCAAUUCAUAUCAGAUACGUUUCUUGUAUUAUAAUUAUGAGAAUUAACUUUUCCUUAAUAACAUUCCCACAGUAUCUCCUCUUGACCCCAGGUCUGGCGGCCUGCUAUAGUUAUGACAGUCUGUGACGAGAGGAAAAUUGACAGGGAAAAUGACAAGUGACUUCAAGCUGGAGGAUGCAGGUCUGUAAAUAGAGAACUAUAAUUUUUCGCAGUGUGCCGCGGGACAGACCCUCAGUGAGUGGAUGAAACAUGAUCAAGGCAAACACGGACCCACCUGCGCUCUGGAUCGGGUUCUGUGCUCUCCACUGGUGGAAGGGAGGAGCAUGGCGAUGUAUUGACAAAAAGCCGCCAAAGAUCUCCGUUCUCCUCCAAGCAAAUAAUAUGGGGUCAGAACAACAUGAAGUGUGCAUGGACUUUCCCCAAAAGGAUAACUUGGAAACUUUGAGGUCCAUUGAGCGGCCAGCGUUAGAUAAUCAAUCAAUGCAGCCCACGUCCCCCAAAUGAGCAUUCUGAUGUCACUGAUGUGGAACAACAUGGUCUGAAUUCACCAUUGAGAUUCCAGGGAGAAAUGAGGUCAUCUUCACUGGGGCUCAUGCACACGAGAGCACAGCAAUCCAUAAUCACACCGGGAUAUGAUGCUUAAAACAUAACACACGGAUAUUAAUGAAGUGAAUAUGACUCCAUUAAAGCGAUAAAGAUUCCCAUAAAACCAUGCGAUUAUGUGCCACUUAUUUUGAUGCCCAAGCCUGGACAUAAUCUGCUGAAUUUCGAUUCAUUUUAUCACACUGAUUUUAGGUAAAACAUGUUAAAUUGAUCUAAGAGCACUACCUGUAUUGAUAGCUGGGAGCAUAAUCUAAUUAUUGAAGAAUACUUAAAGGAUUAGUUCACUUUCAAAUCAAAUUUUCCUGAUAAU